UCUCCGUUGGUGAACCAGCGGAGGGGUCAUUACCGAGUUUACAACUCCCAAACCCAAUGUGAACCAUACCAAACUGUUGCCUCGGCGGGGUCACGCCCCGGGUGCGUCGCAGCCCCGGAACCAGGCGCCCGCCGGAGGGACCAACCAAACUCUUUCUGUAGUCCCCUCGCGGACGUUAUUUUUACAGCUCUGAGCAAAAUUCAAAAUGAAUCAAAACUUUCAACAACGGAUCUCUUGGUUCUG
rnacentral:misc_RNA from 1 species